rnacentral:misc_RNA from 1 species
GGAGUAUAUAUUCGUUUCUUCUCGCCAUCCUUAUCACACUUGUGGUUCUUUAUGCUCUCAUUGCAUUGAGAUUGAAACGAGUUUUCAAAUCGAUAGGAACUGAGAAUGAACCUCUUGUAAAUGAACCAAAUAGCAACCCCGACGCAACAGAAACUGCACCAAACAGAGGCGUACAGACUUGGUUCAAUUUGAUGUACGCACUGAUUGUGAUUGCGUUCAUAUUGGCGUUUGUACCGACAGCUGUUACUUUAAUGCUUGCUUACACCGAUGUAAACUACUUAGAUUUGCCAAAACCUGCCUUAGUCGCAUGGAUUAUAUUUGGACGGUUUAUGAUUGUCAAUCAUUUUGUGAAUCCAAUAAUCUAUACGUGCUUUGACGUGAAAUUUCGAACAGCUCUCUCUCAGAUGUGCAAUUGUAGGACUAACAAAUCACAGGAGAUGUUGUCUGUACCAUCUUGAUUUAAUCAUUGGACAUAACUUAGAUAAAGAGUAUCUACUCAUGUCUUUAAACCUGAUAUACAUGUACUUUAAUCACUAGAAUGUGGUAUUUUGGCAUUGUGUUUUGAAAAAAAAAUUCAGUUGAAAGGCAUUUCAAAUUUUAUGAUCAAUUAAACAUACAAGACACAUCACUGAUUUAAACACAUGUAAUGUAAACUCUCUCUAUUCACUGUGGCUAUAGUCAUAGUGUUCCAUCGUGGCUGUUUCGUACCACAAUGUGUUUCACGGUGAGUUUCACUGCAGUAGUUACCACAAUGUGUUACACCAUGACUGGUUCUACUUCCGUUUGUUACACCGCGGCUGUUGUCAUACUUCAGUGUUACACCGUGUUACACUGUGGCAAUAGUUGUUCCACCGUGCGUUAUACAAUCAUCCCAGUCCGGCCAGAAUCGCGCCCUCAUUCUCUCGCAGUAAGAACAAAGUUUAGGAAAUUCUGUAAUUAAAAUUGAAUCUAAACGCUGAUAUACUCUAUACGUUUGUAUUACCUUAAGGAGUCUAUGUUUUUAGAGUCAGUGGAGUUACUUCUACAGAAUAAACAAAAAUUAAAUCAC